UACGAAGGGGGCAAGCGUUGUCCGGAAUCAUUGGGCGUAAAGCGCGCGUAGGCGGCCCGGUAAGUCCGUUGUGAAAGUCAAAGGCUCAACCUUUGAACGCCGAUGGAUACUGCCGGGCUAGAGUCCGGAAGAGGCGAGUGGAAUUCCUGGAGUAGCGGUGGAAUGCGCAGAUAUCAGGAGGAACACCAAUAGCGAAGGCAGCUCGCUGGGACGGUACUGACGCUGAGGCGCGAAAGCGUGGGGAGCGAACAGG
rnacentral:rRNA from 1 species